CGAGGCCGGUGAUGCUACGGCCAAUCGGCGGCAGCUACGGCGGCCGUGGCCCCUCCUGCAGUGGCCGCGGCCCAAAUGGCCGCUCUCCUCCACCUCCGGUGGAAGAGACGGGGUGCGGCACCCAUCGAGGAGCAACGAGGCCCAGCCGAAGCCAGGGGGUGCUCGCGUGGUGCACGGCCGAUGUCUGUGGUCGGCCGGAUGGCGUCCGCAGUGCACUGAGCCGGCGGCACCCACGGUCAACAGGGAAAUCUCCCUUUGGCCGUCUUCUCCGAUCCCCUCCGACGAAGAUCACACCGGUUCCACCCCUGGAAACCAGAUCUGUCCGAGCUGAGGGCCCUUCCGUGCAUCAAA
rnacentral:lncRNA from 1 species